GAGAACAUGGUCAUUUGAUACCCAUUUCCGAUAUCAAAAUCUCUACAACCCAUCAUCGGUCCUCUUAAAGUCCUGUGUGCUUGGGGCCUGCUACAGUGGUGCCCAGCUGGCUGAGGCCCUACGAGCACUGACAAGGGCACUGCCACCUUGCGCAAUGCACUGCCGUUGCCUCAGGCGACGCACCACCUCCACAGGUGGAGGAGGCCCUCUUCCCUAGUUUUUCAUGCCGAGCAUCUUUUUCUCCUCUCUUUUUAUUGGAUUUUGCCACU
rnacentral:lncRNA from 1 species